AGCUCGUAUACCUUUUCCUUAGCAUUUUAAUGUCGAUGGUGUGGGAGCAUAUGUUUCAGAAGCUGAAAGAAACUUAAGCCCUUCUGUAGGAUACUGGCUCAGUCACCACACACACAGCUUCAGUCGAAGGUGAAAAGUGUUCGGGGAGCUGUGGAGAGACACCGAGCUGUCUCUAGGAUAGCCAUGCAGCCGGCCCCUCUCCAGACCUUCCUGCUGCACAUCUGGUUACCUACUCUAAUGGGUGCAGAAAUGGAUCUAACAGGAAGGGGAAGCCAUAUAAUACUCCCCAAGAAUGUUUAAAAGAGGAUUCUUCAGCAUUUCAUGGAAAACAGGAGUCUUAAGGGAACAUCCUAGGUAAGUCAUUAUAGAAAAAGGAGAAUUUGCUUGCCUGACUUGUCUCUCUUAGUUCUCUCUUAGAAGGUAGAAAUAUGUAGAAUAAGAGAAUACUAGGAUGUGUCAAGGGUAUGAAAAUACAAUACAUGAAGCAGUUAAAGUCUUUAACAGGUUGCCAUAAUAGGUUUAUAAUUAGCCAAAUUCCCUUUUCUUUCUUUAUCAUUGUUUAAUCUUCCCAUUUUAU
rnacentral:lncRNA from 1 species